CAACAGCCGCGGGAAUACAGAGGGUGCGAGCGUUAAUCGGAUUUACUGGGCGUAAAGCGUGCGUAGGCGGCUUCUUAAGUCGGAUGUGAAAUCCCUGAGCUUAACUUAGGAAUUGCAUUCGAUACUGGGAAGCUAGAGUAUGGGAGAGGAUGGUAGAAUUCCAGGUGUAGCGGUGAAAUGCGUAGAGAUCUGGAGGAAUACCGAUGGCGAAGGCAGCCAUCUGGCCUAAUACUGACGCUGAGGUACGAAAGCAUGGGGAGCAAACAGGAUUAGAUACCCGCGUAGUCCCUGUCUCUUAUAC
rnacentral:rRNA from 1 species